rnacentral:rRNA from 1 species
AGUGAACGCUGGCGGUAGGCCUAACACAUGCAAGUCGAACGGCAGCACAGUAAGAGCUUGCUCUUACGGGUGGCGAGUGGCGGACGGGUGAGGAAUACAUCGGAAUCUACUUUUUCGUGGGGGAUAACGUAGGGAAACUUACGCUAAUACCGCAUACGACCUACGGGUGAAAGCAGGGGAUCUUCGGACCUUGCGCGAUUGAAUGAGCCGAUGUCGGAUUAGCUAGUUGGCGGGGUAAAGGCCCACCAAGGCGACGAUCCGUAGCUGGUCUGAGAGGAUGAUCAGCCACACUGGAACUGAGAAACGGUCCAGACUCUUACGGGAGGCAGCAGUGGGGAAUAUUGGACAAUGGGCGCAAGCCUGAUCCAGCCAUACCGCGUGGGUGAAGAAGGCCUUCGGGUUGUAAAGCCCUUUUGUUGGGAAAGAAAAGCAGCAGGUUAAUACCCCGCUGUUCUGACGGUACCCAAAGAAUAAGCACCGGCUAACUUCGUG